rnacentral:rRNA from 2 species
UAGGGAAUCUUCCGCAAUGGACGAAAGUCUGACGGAGCAACGCCGCGUGUGUGAAGAAGGUCUUCGGAUCGUAAAGCACUGUUAUUAGAGAAGAACACCCGGUAGAGUAACUGUUACCGGUCUGACGGUAUCUAACCAGAAAGCCACGGCUAACUACGUGCCAGCAGCCGCGGUAAUACGUAGGUGGCAAGCGUUGUCCGGAUUUAUUGGGCGUAAAGCGAGCGCAGGUGGUUUCUUAAGUCUGAUGUGAAAGCCCACGGCUCAACCGUGGAAGGUCAUUGGAAACUGGGGAACUUGAAUGCAGAAGAGGAGAGUGGAAUUCCAUGUGUAGCGGUGAAAUGCGUAGAUAUAUGGAGGAACACCAGUGGCGAAGGCGACUCUCUGGUCUGUUAUUGACACUGAGGCUCGAAAGCGUGGGGAGCAAACAGG